GCAGUUGCACAGUUCAUGUACAUCAUCCGGAAAAGAAUUAUGCUGCCUCCGGAGAAGUCCAUGUUCUUAUUUGUGAACAAGAUUCUACCAACGACAAGCGCCAAUAUGGGCUCCAUCUACGACGAGCACAAGGACGCAGAUGGAUUUCUAUAUAUCGCGUACAGUGGUGAGAACACGUUCGGAGAAGAAGAGACGUGCUGACCCAUGGGGGUACCAGCCCUAUAGUUAGCCCCGCAGCUUUCGUCGAGUCAAGUGUGUUCCAGAGGUAGGUUGUGCUGUACGCGCGGGCGAUGCUUCUCGCUGCGAAUAGGACAAAAGGAGUGUAAGACCACGUGGUGACAUGUUUAUCUGUGUGUCCUUGUGUUUGACGGUCGCAUACAUACACAUGCCAGACAGCAAGCCGAAAACCAUACAUUUCCAGAACCAUUCUCCUCUACAAGGUUAGGUGUCACAGAUAUGCAGCCGGAGCGAUCUGUUCCCUGCCUGCUUCAUAAAUUGCUUGCCCGAUCAUGUCAUGAAAAAUAGCCUUUACCUAUCAGCUGAUUUUUACUUCAUUCCCACUGGCGUAUUUGUCAUUAAGUUUUUGCGUACGUGAGAAGUAAUUUUUUGUGUAGAUAGCUUUUAAUUUUCUCUAUCUCGGUUGCUACUCAUGUUCUAGUUAUCUUCGUCUUUUCUUUACUGUCUAAGUUACUAUUGUAUUGCUGCCAUGUGCGGACACAUUGUUGCUAGUUGUUCAGUUGCGGCAGUACCACUGUAGA